UUGUCCUAGCCUAGGCAUCUCUUCUCGCCUGUGCUCAGUUGUCACAGGGGAGGCCGGCAGGACACACAGCACUUUCCCUCUCAGUUUAGGAGACCACCCUACGAGUGGGGCUUGGUCUUAAAGGCGCGAGAGGACAAU